GAUGAACGCUGGCGGCGUGCCUAAUACAUGCAAGUCGAGCGAACAGACGAGGAGCUUGCUCCUCUGACGUUAGCGGCGGACGGGUGAGUAACACGUGGAUAACCUACCUAUAAGACUGGGAUAACUUCGGGAAACCGGAGCUAAUACCGGAUAAUAUAUUGAACCGCAUGAUUCAAUAGUGAAAGACGGUUUUGCUGUCACUUAUAGAUGGAUCCGCGCCGCAUUAGCUAGUUGGUAAGGUAACGGCUUACCAAGGCAACGAUGCGUAGCCGACCUGAGAGGGUGAUCGGCCACACUGGAACUGAGACACGGUCCAGACUCCUACGGGAGGCAGCAGUAGGGAAUCUUCCGCAAUGGGCGAAAGCUUGACGGAGCAACGCCGCGUGAGUGAUGAAGGUCUUCGGAUCGUAAAACUCUAUUAUUAGGGAAGAACAAAUGUGUAAGUAACUAUGCACGUCUUGACGGUACCUAAUCAGAAAGCCACGGCUAACUACGUG
rnacentral:rRNA from 1 species